rnacentral:lncRNA from 1 species
UCUAGUACUUGCAGAAUCUUCUCUUCAAAUGAUGGACUAUAGGUAGUUGGAGAAGCUUGAUAUUGUGAAUAGGGCAAGUCGUAAUAGGAUACUUCAACAAACAUAGAUCCUUAUGUUGCUGAGUAUCCACUGGGUGUGGGUUCCAUAAAAAAUUUGAUUGAACCCCCCAACAUGGAUUGUAGUUAUUAAAGAAUAGGUUAUUUCCUAGUUCGU